AGCGAACGCUGGCGGCAGGCCUAACACAUGCAAGUCGAACGAACUCUUCGGAGUUAGUGGCGGACGGGUGAGUAACACGUGGGAACGUGCCUUUAGGUUCGGAAUAACUCAGGGAAACUUGAGCUAAUACCGGAUGUGCCCUUCGGGGGAAAGAUUUAUCGCCUUUAGAGCGGCCCGCGUCUGAUUAGCUAGUUGGUGAGGUAAAGGCUCACCAAGGCGACGAUCAGUAGCUGGUCUGAGAGGAUGAUCAGCCACAUUGGGACUGAGACACGGCCCAAACUCCUACGGGAGGCAGCAGUGGGGAAUCUUGCGCAAUGGGCGAAAGACUGACGCAGCCAUGCCGCGUGAAUGAUGAAGGUCUUAGGAUUGUAAAAUUCUUUCAACGGGGACGAUAAUGACGGUACCCGGAGAAGAAGCCCCGGCUAACUUCGUG
rnacentral:rRNA from 1 species